rnacentral:rRNA from 1 species
CCUACGGGAGGCAGCAGUGGGGAAUUUUGGACAAUGGGCGCAAGCCUGAUCCAGCAAUGCCGCGUGCAGGAUGAAGGCCUUCGGGUUGUAAACUGCUUUUGUACGGAACGAAACGGUGAGCUCUAAUACAGUUUGCUAAUGACGGUACCGUAAGAAUAAGCACCGGCUAACUACGUGCCAGCAGCCGCGGUAAUACGUAGGGUGCGAGCGUUAAUCGGAAUUACUGGGCGUAAAGCGUGCGCAGGCGGUGAUGUAAGACAGAUGUGAAAUGCCCGGGCUCAACCUGGGACCUGCAUUUGUGACUGCAUCGCUAGAGUACGGUAGAGGGGGAUGGAAUUCCGCGUGUAGCAGUGAAAUGCGUAGAUAUGCGGAGGAACACCGAUGGCGAAGGCAAUCCCCUGGACCUGUACUGACGCUCAUGCACGAAAGCGUGGGGAGCAAACAGGAUUAGAUACCCUGGUAGUCCACGCCCUAAACGAUGUCAACUGGUUGUUGGGUCUUCACUGACUCAGUAACGAAGCUAACGCGUGAAGUUGACCGCCCUGGGGAGGUACGGCCGCGAGGUUAGUAACGUACGAAGAGUAGUAGGACGGNGAGAGACGCGACGGACGGACGACGACGGGAGGGUAGGGUUAGG